rnacentral:rRNA from 1 species
AGAGUUUGAUCAUGGCUCAGAACGUACGCUGGCGGCACGCCUAAUACAUGCAAGUCGAACGAAGUAGCAAUGCUUAGUGGCAGACGGGUGAGUAACAUGUGGGUAUCUUCCCUUUGGUGAGGAAUAACACGAGGAAACUUGUGCUAAUACCUCAUAAGUCUUUACAGAGAAAGCUUUAUGCGCCAUUGGAUGAGCCCGCACUUGAUUAGUUUGUUGGUGGGGUAAUGGCCUACCAAGACAAUGAUCAAUAGCUGAUUUGAGAGGAUGAUCAGCCACAUUGGGACUGAGACACGGCCCAAACUCCUACGGGAGGCAGCAGUAGGGAAUCUUGCACAAUGGAGGAAACUCUGAUGCAGCGAUGCCGCGUGAGUGAAGAAGGCCUUUGGGUUGUAAAGCUCUUUCGUCGGGGAAGAAAAUGACUGUACCCGAAUAAGAAGGUCCGGCUAACUUCGUGCCAGCAGCCGCGGUAAUACGAAGGGACCUAGCGUAGUUCGGAAUUACUGGGCUUAAAGAGUUCGUAGGUGGUUAAAAAAGUUGGUGGUGAAAUCCCAGAGCUUAACUCUGGAACUGCCAUCAAAACUUUUUAGCUAGAGUAUGAUAGAGGAAAGCAGAAUUUCUAGUGUAGAGGUGAAAUUCGUAGAUAUUAGAAAGAAUACCAAUUGCGAAGGCAGCUUUCUGGAUCAUUACUGACACUGA